UACGUAGGGCGCAAGCGUUGUCCGGAAUUAUUGGGCGUAAAGAGCUCGUAGGCGGUUUGUCGCGUCUGCUGUGAAAUCCCGAGGCUCAACCUCGGGCUUGCAGUGGGUACGGGCAGACUAGAGUGCGGUAGGGGAGACUGGAAUUCCUGGUGUAGCGGUGGAAUGCGCAGAUAUCAGGAGGAACACCGAUGGCGAAGGCAGGUCUCUGGGCCGCAAC
rnacentral:rRNA from 1 species